rnacentral:ribozyme from 1 species
UCAGUAUCACGUUUGUCUUUCUUCUCCUUUUUUUUUUUCUUUUCUUUUUUUUUUUUUUUUUUU